rnacentral:rRNA from 1 species
CGGCCUUGAAAUACCACCCUUUAAUGUUUGAUGUUCUAACGUUGACCCGUGAUCCGGGUUGCGGACAGUGUCUGGUGGGUAGUUUGACUGGGGCGGUCUCCUCCUAAAGAGUAACGGAGGAGCACGAAGGUUGGCUAAUCCUGGUCGGACAUCAGGAGGUUAGUGCAAUGGCAUAAGCCAGCUUGACUGCGAGCGUGACGGCGCGAGCAGGUGCGAAAGCAGGUCAUAGUGAUCCGGUGGUUCUGAAUGGAAGGGCCAUCGCUCAACGGAUAAAAGGUACUCCGGGGAUAACAGGCUGAUACCGCCCAAGAGUUCAUAUCGACGGCGGUGUUUGGCACCUCGAUGUCGGCUCAUCACAUCCUGGGGCUGAAGUAGGUCCCAAGGGUAUGGCUGUUCGCCAUUUAAAGUGGUACGCGAGCUGGGUUUAGAACGUCGUGAGACAGUUCGGUCCCUA